rnacentral:rRNA from 1 species
AGAGUUUGAUCAUGGCUCAGAGCGAACGCUGGCGGCAGGCUUAACACAUGCAAGUCGAGCGGGCACUUUCGGGUGUCAGCGGCGGACGGGUGAGUAACGCGUGGGAACGUGCCCUCUGGUUCGGAAUAACUCAGGGAAACUUGAGCUAAUACCGGAUACGCCCUUUUGGGGAAAGGCUUGCUGCCGGAGGAUCGGCCCGCGUCUGAUUAGCUAGUUGGUGAGGUAACGGCUCACCAAGGCGACGAUCAGUAGCUGGUCUGAGAGGAUGAUCAGCCACACUGGGACUGAGACACGGCCCAGACUCCUACGGGAGGCAGCAGUGGGGAAUAUUGGACAAUGGGCGCAAGCCUGAUCCAGCCAUGCCGCGUGAGUGAUGAAGGCCUUAGGGUUGUAAAGCUCUUUUAUCCGGGACGAUAAUGACGGUACCGGAGGAAUAAGCCCCGGCUAACUUCGUGCCAGCAGCCGCGGUAAUACGAAGGGGGCUAGCGUUGCUCGGAAUCACUGGGCGUAAAGGGCGCGUAGGCGGCGUUUUAAGUCGGGGGUGAAAGCCUGUGGCUCAACCACAGAAUGGCCUUCGAUACUGGGACGCUUGAGUAUGGUAGAGGUUGGUGGAACUGCGAGUGUAGAGGUGAAAUUCGUAGAUAUUCGCAAGAACACCGGUGGCGAAGGCGGCCAACUGGACCAUUACUGACGCUGAGGCGCGAAAGCGUGGGGAGCAAACAGGAUUAGAUACCCUAGUAGUCC